CCGCCCGUCACAUCACGAAAGUGGGUUGUACUAGAAGUCUGCGCGCUAACCCGCAAGGGAGCAGCGGCCCAAGGUAUGACUCAUGAUUGGGGUG
rnacentral:rRNA from 1 species